rnacentral:lncRNA from 1 species
GGCUUCCUGAUCCUAGGUGUUAUGUUGAGUGUUGUUCUUUGGUCUCUAGGAACUCUGAGCAGCAGCAGGGCACCUAUAGAGCUGCUGACUUGGAUUGUCCUGUGGCCAUAUUCACUGUCAUCUUGAUAUUACUGGUGAACCUGAUGCACAGGCUCCAAUGCUGGACGUCUCGCUACCCACCGGGCCCCGUGCCAUGGCUUGUGCUGGGUAACCUGCUGCAGGCAGACCUACAUAACAUGACAUACAACUUAUACAAGCUUCAAAAUUGGUGUGGUGAUGUGUUCAGCCUGCAGAUGAUCAGCAAGCCUGUGGUCGUGAUCAAGGGACUGAAUGCGGUGGGGGAAUUUGCUGGUGUCCUGUGGAGAGGGCACUGCUGAGUGGCCUGAAAUACCCAUCUUUCAUCACAUAGUCUGUGGGCCCAAAACUAAAGGCAAAACGCUGUGUUGGGAGCAGAGAUGGGAUCAUAACCAGACAUGGGAAACUGAGCAGAAGAAGAUCAGGGCAUAAUGCAGGAGCCUUCAGAUGAGAUGAAGAACUUACAGCUCUACCUGUACCAUGCCUGCCCAGAUACUGCCAUGCUCCCAUCUUGAUGAUAAUGGACUAAACCACAGAACCUGUAAGCCAGCCCCGAUUAAAUGUGGUUCUUUAUAAGAG